CUACUACAUGCUUCUCCUGGACCCAUUCUACACCGCCAGGGCAAGCACGUACUCGCCUUAAAGUCUUCCUUCUGAACCUUGUUCCUUUACGUUUCUUUACACGUCAUUCCAACCUGUUACCGACUUUUGUGAUACAACCAGAACAUUUAAUGUCUCAUCUCUAUCUUGUCUUGCCCUUUGACUCUGUAUUUUUCACCAUUUUCUGAGCUAUAAACUUUACUUUGACUCUUCACAGCAAUUCUGCUUUUCUCCAAGUCCUACUGCAUUGGAUCACCUCUUCUAAAUGCUUUUAUUCUUUCAGUUUAGGGGUACGACCUGUCUGAUCCUGGCAUAACUCCCAGAGAUGGUACUUCCACCUUGCCCAGAGCAAGAGCUCCAUGGAGAAUGGCCAUAAAGAGUCACUCUGAAGCAGAUGAAAUCUCAGCAUGAGAGAGAGAUGAGUGUUCUAGUUGAAGUGAGGGCCAUGUUCCAGGAGACACAUCAGCUCUGCCCUUUCAGCUUCCACUAUACCUUUUCCAGGAGAACUUGGAUCAUUUCCACAUCAAGAAAUGCAGUUUGGAAACCCACUGGACCAGGAAAGCAAAGACACAGUCAUGAUGCAAAUACCCCAAGAGAUGUAAAAUGUCAACAAAAGGCACAAUAUAAGAAGGGAAUGAAUAAAGGCAGAGUCUGGACCCUAGUUCCCACUCUACUACUCUUUCUUUUUAGAAUGGAAUUGGUGAAGAGUGUUUGCGAGGAGAUUUAGCAGGUGUACAAGCCACUCACAGAGUCAGAGGAGCUCACAAGCCCAGUUCAGCAGACAUCCCCUGCACUUCCCUGCAGCUUCGGGAGACAUGGCUAGAAGCCUGUCCCAACCAUCCCAGUCAGUGAAAAUGUCUUGAGAAGAGAGGAGCUAAACCCACGGUUUGGUUUUCUUACCCACUUUGCACUCUCAAAGAGGGUACCAAAUAUAGCAGCUCAAUAAAUAUGGUUUAAAA
rnacentral:lncRNA from 1 species